ACCCCUGGCUGCCCACUGACUCCCACCCAGCCUCCCAUCUGCCUUUCCUUCCAGCAUUUGUGAAGCACAUCAUGGCCAGUUGAGCCUCUCAGGAAGCCCAGGGCAGGCCAAGCAUCUCCCAACCAUGAUGCUGACACCAUGUCUGGAGCUUCAGGAAGGAGUGGCUCGGACUUCUGCAGGUUGUCCUGGAUCACUCUGUGUGUGGUUGCCUUUCCUGGCCCCUGCUGGGAUGGGCUUGCCUACCUGUGAUUGCCUUUCUGUCUCCACCCUGUGGCCUUAAGAAUAAAUGGUUUCCUUCCUUCCA